ensembl:antisense Pitpnm2os2 phosphatidylinositol transfer protein, membrane-associated 2, opposite strand 2
GGUUUUUCAAGACAGGGUUUCUCUGUGCAGUCCUGGCUGUCCUGGAACUCACUUUGUAGACCAAGCUGGCCUUGAACUCAGAAAUCCACCUGCCUCUGCCUCCCAAGUGCUGGUAUUAAAGGCGUGUGCCACCACUGCCCGGCUCAAACAGAACUUCUAAAGUGGGUCCCACUAACUCUUGCUUCCAUGAGGGGCCGGUGGGGAGCAGGUUAAGCUCUAGAUGCACAGGGAAUAAUGUCACUGCAUCGGGAGCCUCCCAGGAGUCCCUUCACACUUAGAAUCAAGUCCAAAGUCCUCGGCAUGACCGGAGCCCCCCUAGAUGGCUUCUCUCUCUCCUUCUCAUGGCCUUUCCUGUCCCAGUCGCAGUUUCUCAAACUUGCUAAGCAUAUUUCCAUCGUGGGACCAUCGUGGAGCUAGCUCGGGCUUUUAAAAACCCAAAGGGCACCCAAUCCUUCCCAAAAUAUUUCUACCAACUAGGGACCAAAUAUUCAAAUAUAUAAGCCUAUGGGGCCCUUUCUCAUUGAAACCACCACAAGAAUCAGAGAGUGUACUUUAGUUAGGGAUUUCAUGUGGCUUCCUGAUCAAUUGCCAGUGCCCAAAAUACACCGGACACAGGAGUGGCAUCUAAAAAGUUGGCUGGUGGCUUUAGGAGGCGGCAGCCGGAAGUAGGGUAAAAGUGGGAGUGACAAGUGCUUCUGGGUGAAAGAAGAGACACAGAGCUUAAAUAAGCAAAUGUGAAAUAAUAUAAAUGGUAAACAAACACUUCCCGGGCUGCCACCCUCAGAAAAGCACCAAGCCCAUGAAGGUUUACAGGUGUUUCUAACAAACCUCUGAAAACCUUGGGGGAGGGCGGGGGAGGAUGCUCUAUUAGGAGGAGAAUAAGAACGGGCACACCUCAUGAACAAGAUGCCUUUCAAGCAAACCUCAAAGGAGGACAGGCAUGAAGCACAGCAGUAAGAACUUGGGGUCUCCCAGGGAACCAUAUGCAGUGUCACUUCUGUGACAAUGGUGCCUACUCUAGAAAUAUCUUUUUCCAUCUGGCCUCUGUGUCUUCUCUGUUCAUCUCCAUCGCCCAACAUUCUCCAUCGGCCUGGUCACUGAAUUGCAAAGUGAGUAUCCCACAAACGUCAGCCACUGUUGGACGGUGUCUAUAGGUCUAUUUCUGGCUAAAAAAGCAAGCCAGGAAUUGCAUUUCCCUCAUCCUGGUAUCUUUGAUGCCUGAAAACACUCAAAGGCUCAAGGCAGCCGACUGUUAAGAGCUGGCGCUGCGGAUGCACAAGCAAUGGUCUGUGAUGCCUGUUUGCAGCCAUCCUUAAACAUGUACAAUGAGCUCAGGUGGCAGGGCCUCGGGGAAGCUUUCUCGGGCUCCUUCUUUCUCAGGCAAGAAGAAGGUGAGCAAAAGAAGUCACGCUUCCUCUCCAGUGAGGCUGAGGGGCACCUGAAAGGACACAUCUGUCUACGUACUCUCUGUGAAGUUCAGUGUGAGGUGGUGGGGUCUGGACAACAUAGUAAGAAACAAGGAAGCAAGGCUGGCAUCUCCAGCAGCCUAGAAACUGAGCUGAGGGAGAAGAACGAAGGGUGGAAGAGUGCAGACUCUCCCUUCCACACCCACAAGGGCCCAGACAGCCCUGCUUCACCCCCAACUACAGCCGUUCAUCAAACAAGGCUGAGAAACCCGUCGUCACGGCUCUAGGGCUGGGCUGUGCCCUCCAUCUCCUCAUCAGCACUCAGACUCAGAUCAACCACUGCCAGGUCCAUGAGGCUGGGGAAUAGCUGAGACCGUCCAGGCCAUGGAUACAGCACAGCAUGGAUCCUAAUGGGACCCCUGCUGUGGACAUGGAGACCUGCAGGUUCAUAUCAGAGCUGCUGAGAGGCACCUCUGAAGUCAGCAGAUAAAACCGUUCUGCAGCAUAAACAGAUCCUCUGGUCAGGAGAAAGGGAGCUGGGAGGUCUGCAGUCCUGGACACGUACCUACGGCUGUGUAAAACAGCACGUGCGUGGGUGAGCGCGCGUGCACACACACACACACACACACACACACACACACACACAAAUAAUGGUUCAGUCAAUAACCAUUCACUACCUCACACUGUUUCUGCUGAUUAAGAAAACUAGAGUGGGGCUGGCAAGAUGGCUCAGUGGGUAACAGCACUGACUGCUCUACCAAAGGUCCUGAGUUCAAAUCCCAGCAAUCACAUGGUGACUCACAACCAUCUGUAAUGGAAUCUGACGCCCUCUUCUAGUGUGUCUGAAGUCAGCUACAGUGUACUUAUGUAUAAUAAUAAAUCUUUGGGCCGGAGUGAGCAGGGACUAAGCGAGUAGAGUUGACUGGAGCGAGCGGGGCCAACUGGAGCGAGCAGGGGUCCUAAAAAUUCAAUUACCAACAAUCAUAUGAAGGCUAACAACCAUCUGUACAGCUACAGUGUACUCACACACAUAAAAUAAAUAAAUAUUUAAAAGAAAGAAA